AGUGAACGCUGGCGGUAGGCCUAACACAUGCAAGUCGAACGGCAGCACAGUAAGAGCUUGCUCUUACGGGUGGCGAGUGGCGGACGGGCGAGGAAUACAUCGGAAUCUACUUUUUCGUGGGGGAUAACGUAGGGAAACUUACGCUAAUACCGCAUACGACCUACGGGUGAGAGCAGGGGAUCUUCGGACCUUGCGCGAUUGAAUGAGCCGAUGUCGGAUUAGCUAGUUGGCGGGGUAAAGGCCCACCAAGGCGACGAUCCGUAGCUGGUCUGAGAGGAUGAUCAGCCACACUGGAACUGAGACACGGUCCAGACUCCUACGGGAGGCAGCAGUGGGGAAUAUUGGACAAUGGGCGCAAGCCUGAUCCAGCCAUACCGCGUGGGUGAAGAAGGCCUUCGGGUUGUAAAGCCCUUUUGUUGGGAAAGAAAAGCAGCAGGUUAAUACCCCGCUGUUCUGACGGUACCCAAAGAAUAAGCACCGGCUAACUUCGUG
rnacentral:rRNA from 1 species